UACACGGAAGGGCUAUGUUGU
rnacentral:siRNA from 1 species